rnacentral:lncRNA from 1 species
UUCUCAUAUGAAUCUUCUGAAUACAAAGUUCUUAUAUCCUUUUCAAUCAUUGCAGUAAUUCUUAAGCAUGGUGUAGCACUGUGGAUUACAUAGAAAGUAUAUCAGUUUAAAGGAAUGGCUCUAUAAUAUAGAUUGCUUUAUUUUAGCAAUUUAUUUAUAGUGCCCACCUAUAAUCUCAGCUACUCAGGAGGCUGAGUCAGGAAGAUCUUAAGUUCAAGCUAGCCUGAGCAACAUGGUUUGAUCCCUUUGAAACAAAAAUUGCCAUAUUUCUUAAGGUGGUUCACACACACACUGAAGGGAAACAGGAUGUAGCAGAGUGGGGAUUGCAUGCAACUUCAGGAGAAACAUUUCCUAGGAUAUCAAUUUUGCUUAAAAGAUUGAGGGAGUUAACACUAAAAACAAAAUUUUUAUGUUAAAACUAAUGAACAAUUUAGAACAAAACUUUCAUGAAUUUUAAAGUAACAAAAUUGUGCUCUAACAAGCAUUCUGGUAUUCUUGUAGCAUCACAUUCUUCAGACAUCUUUGAUCUUGGUUAUAUAACUUACAAGUAAUGUAGGAUUUUUUUUCCUUCAAAAAAUGAUUAAUGUUAGCUUUUGUGGUCACUCAUAUUCCCUUUGUAUUCUCUGUAAAUUUUCUUUUACUCUAGGAUUGAGUGUUGUGCUCUCAGAAUUGUUCUCAAAUCCAGUCUUGUGUUUACCAUUUAUUUUUUUAUUUUAUUUUAUUUUUUUGGUACCGGGGAUCGAACUCGGGUCCUUGUGCUUGCGGAGCAGGUGGCGAAACCACUGAGCUAAAUUCCUGGCCCAUGUUUACCAUUUAGAUGGUAACCUUUGGAUGUAAUUUAAAUUCCUUUUGGCAUCUAUUUGCUGCCCAUUGGAUAUGGAGCCUUUGGUUUUGACCUGAGAACAUGAAAUUCACUGCAAUUAAAAUACCUAGUGGUUUAGUAUGAUUAUUUUUUCUUGAUUUUCUAAGAAGCCAUCCUUGCUCUUUGUGGCCCAGUCAAUCCUGUCUUUCUUCCCUAGGAACAAUACAUUGUCUGUCCUAUGAGUAUUUCAAGGACAUUGAUCUUAGAUAUCCACUUUGGGGAAUAAUUUUGCUUAUUCCAAAUAAAAUUGUGUGAUAGAAAUUAAACUGGCUACUUUCUUCA